rnacentral:lncRNA from 1 species
AACUCGGACAUAACAGUAAUCGUAUUAUCUAUGUUAUUACUGAAGAAACCUCUAUUACUAUGCUGAAUGUACAUGCAAUGCCCGAUAUACUCCGGCCACAAAUGGUAAUUACACACUAACCCAAUCUUCAGUUCAACUGCCCAGUGUUUUAACAUGUUUACUUUUUGAUCUCUUUCAAAUACCCGCUCCUCUCUUCGACACUCCUAUCACUUUCUCAUUCCAUCCCCAACUCUUACCACGUUUCAUGCGCAUAUGAUUGCAGGGACCUUCUAGUGCACAAAAAUUCAUUGUAUACAUACAAAACUGCAAUUACAAUCUAUGAACAUAACCAACAUCCACAACUUACUUCAAAUAACUCGCCAUUUUCACUUGAUAAAUUUUUUCUGUCUUCCAAAGACAAGUUACAGUCACAUUGGGGGAAUUCUAUCAACUUUCAAAUAGUUUAGAUUAAAAGCACCCCUAACCUCUGUAAGCUCCCCACUUCGAGAUGGUUCCGCACACUCAUACCAUGAAACUACCUCUUCCUAAUCUGGCACCCUACUGAAGUUUUAGCAAAUAAUUCAUAGAAAGCAAGCAUCCCACCAUCAUAUCGCACCACAAUGCUUUCCAAACAAAACCAAUUUCUUUUCUUUCUUGCUUUUCGGAAUCCCUCAGUGUGAAAAGUAAAUGUACAUCGCGUAAAUAAAUUUGAACUUUUUAAAAGUAUCCAAGUCAAAGCUAAACAUGCAUUCCUCUAAACCAUUGAUGCUAAUCGGCCAAAUGUUCCGAAGUAUUGAGAGCGCUAAACCAGUCACAAGUUAGUUACAACAGUAAAUAGUUAAUUGUGGUAUUUGUGUAAUUAGGUGUAGAAGAUAAGGGUACUAAUGUAAUGAGCCUCUAUGGCUAUAUAUAUUCUUGUGUACCGUCAAUUAAGUUUAAUCAAUGAAAAUAUCCCUUUUAACAUUUUCUACAUGGUUUCAUCGCCAAAUACCUCCCGGCAUUCCUCGAUCCUCCAUUUCUUCCGCUCAGUUUCUCUUAUUUCUGUUCAAUUUGAUCGAAGUUCUUCAUUGAUUUGGUAUUCUGAUCACUGUUGAUCGGUAAUGGCGUCUUUGAGUCAGUGAUAUCUAGAUUUUCUUCUUCUCACCGCUUUCAUUUCUCGAUCGAUUUCUCGCUCGAUUUCUUGAUCGAUUUUGUGCUCUUUGUCUUUGAUCGAUUGCUUGAUCGAUCUCUCCCUCGAUUUCUUGAUCGAUUUCUCUUUUCUCGAAUCUCGAAUCUUGCUUUUGUAUAUCAUGGCUUCCCCCUCUCACUCUUCGUCUCCGAUUAACUCACCGCCAUUACCAAACCCUAAUCUUUCUGCAAAUUCUCAACCUCAGAACUCGUAUGUCUCUUACGAUUCAAAAUAUUGGUAGCAUGGUGCCAAUCAAACUCAAAUGCACCAAUUAUCUCCCAUGGCGUGCGUUAUUUGCUCCGAUUUUGCGCCGGCACAAACUUCUUGGUCUCAUCGACGAUACUGACCCAUGUCCGACUCCACUUCUUCCUGAUCGAUCCUUGAAUCCAGCAUUUGGGCAGUGGUUUGAAAAAGAUCAAAAUCUCUUGAUCUGGCUCAACUCGACCUUAUCCAAAGAUCUCAUUCCCUUCACAGUAGGUGUUUCCACAUCUCGAGAGCUUUGGCAGAAGCUUGAACAACGUUUUGGUGGAGUUUCUGAAGCUCAUGUCCACCAACUUCGCUCUCGUCUUCGAUCAAUUCAAAAAGGCUCUCAAUCGAUCUCGGAAUAUCUACAACAAAUCAAGGAAAUUUUAGAUUCUCUCAAUGCUGCUGGCGCAACUAUAUCUGAUCGUGAUCUAAUUGCUGCACCACUUCACGGUAUUCCUGAUGAAUUUGAGUCCUUUAUUGACUCCAUCAUGCUGCGUUUGUCUUCUACAUCUCUUGAUGAAUUGCAUGGUUAGUUGCUGACAAAAGAGAUUUCCAUGGCUCGUCACAAGCAGACUCUGUCCACCGCUGCUACUGAGCCCUUUCAGGCAUUCUCUGUCCAAUCUCAGGCACCUUUACUGCCAACGCCUUCUCCACAUGCCUUUGCUACAUAUAGUCAACCUCUUCAAUCUUCUUUCCGUUACAAUUCUAAUCAAGGCAGAAACAAUCGCAAUGGUUCCAGAGGCAAUCGCAAUAUCCGUACUAAUCGUGGACACUACAUUGGUACUUAUCGUGAAGGUCGAUCUCGUGCCUCUUAUCUAGGCUCCCGGUCUACCAACCAAGGCUCUUCAUCUACUCACAAGAACACAUGUCAAAUUUGUGGCUCCACCAGCCACGAAGCCAUUGACUGUUUUGACAGGAUGAAUCCUGAGAUUUUUGGACGGGUGCCACCAGCCAAACUUGCAGCUCUUUGUGCUCACUACUCGUCCAAACCAUCCCUAUCUUGGCUGUUAGACUCUGGCGCCACAUCACAUAUCACAAAUGACAUUGCCAAUCUCUCAGUCGCCUCUCCCUACACUGGUGAAGACAAAGUCUAUAUAGGAGAUGGUAAAUGUCUGUCUAUUCACAAUAUUGGUACCUCUUCUUUAAAUACAUCUCAUACUUCUUUUAAGUUGAGUAAUGUAUUACAUGUACCUGCUAUGAAACACAACUUAUUAUCUGCCUACCAAUUUUUAAAAGAUAAUAAUUGUGCCUUGACUCUUGACCCUAAUGGAUUCACCAUAAAGGAUCGUGUUUCGGGGAAGACGCUUUUGUAGGGACAAGUUAAAGAUGGUUUCUAUCAUUUUUAAGGCUCUAGUCAUCCCACUUCUUCAUCACCCUCGACUUUCACAAGUGUCAAUGCUCCUGUACAGAUUUGGCAUCGAAGAUUGGGUCAUCCAUCUCCUUCUAUCUUUCGCAAGGUUCUUUCAGGCAAUAAGCUUGUGGUGAAAGGCAGGACUACUGGUGAUCUUUUCUAGUCAGAUUGUGCUUUAGCUAAAAGUCACAAGCUUCUUUUUGGCUCUGCUAGUUUUACAACUACUCAAAGCCUCCAAUUGUUACACUGUGAUCUUUGGGGUCCUGCCUCCAUCACUUCACCUAGUGGUUUUAAGUACUACUUGUUGCUAGUAGAUGAUUACAGUAGAUAUAGUUGGUUAUUUCUAUUAAAGGCUAAAUCUGAUGCUUAUUCUACUUUCGUUGUAUUCAAACAAUAUGUGGAAAAUCUACUUGGAAAUAAAAUCAAGGUUGUGCAUUCAGAUUCCGGGGGUUAAUUCAUUGGUGCUAUGUUUCGGUCUUUCUUCAUACUCAUGGCAUUGUUCAUCAAUUAACAUGUCCUCACACCCCUGAACAAAAUGGUUGUGCUGAACAAAAGAACUGACACAUUGUGGAAAUUGCCAAAACAUUACUUGUUGCUUCUAAUAUUCCACAUCUUUAUUGGGUGGAAGCUUUCUCCACGGCUGUGUACCUUAUUAACAGAUUACCAAUCUCUGGACUCUCUAAAUCUCCUUGGGAAUCGCUAUUUUUCAAGCCACCAGAUUACUCCCGACUUAAAGUCUUUGGCUGUAGAUGUUUCCCGUGGCUCAAACCUUAUACUCAUUCCAAGUUGGACGCUAAAAGCAAAAGCUGUGUUUUUCUGGGAUACAAUUUACAACAUAAGGGUUAUUGAUGCCUUGACCUAGUCACUAGUCGUAUCUACAUUUCUCGACAUGUACAGUUUGAUGAAUCAACAUAUCCUUUUCAGUCUCCUCCCCACCAGUCCAGUUAUCUCUUCAGAAUCUGUUUCAGCUCCCAUGGAUCUGCAGUUCUCCGUUCCUAAUAGAAUUGGUGUUCCUUCUGGAUCUUCAGUUCUAGAUUUGAGAUCCAACUCUGAUUAUUCUUCUUCAGGUUCACACAUUGGUCAUUCUCAAGGUCCCAUUCCUACAAAUACUGCAUCACAUACAGAAUCUCCGCAUGCCGCAUCACUCACUUCCAAUGCACCAAUUAUUUCCCUACCCCCUACCAAUACUCACCCUAUGAUCACUCGCUCUAAAGCUGGUAUCUUCAAGCCCAAAGUAUAUGCAGCUACCAAACAUCCUCUUCCAUCUGAUAUUGGCUUUGUCCCAAAUACAUAUUUGCAAGCAUCUAAACAUGCUCGCUAGAGAUCUGCCAUGCAAGAUGAGUUCAAGGCCUUACAAUCAACAGGAACUUGGACACUUGUUCCUCCAUCUUCCUCCUACAAUGUUGUUGGCUGCAAGUGGGUUUUCCGAAUAAAGAAGAAACCUAAUGGUACUGUCGAGAGAUUUAAAGCUCGUCUGGUUACAAAGGGGUAUCAUCAGCAAGAAGGAAUUGAUUUUCAAGAAACCUUCAAUCCUGUGGCUAAACUAGUCACAAUUAGAGUCAUUUUGUCACUUGUUGUGCAGUUCAAUUGGUUUUUAAAUCAAUUAGACAUAAGUAAUGCCUUUCUUCAUGGUGAUUUAAAGGAAGAUGUAUACAUGUAGCAGCCUCCAGGUUUCACUGAUCUCAGCAUGCCACAUCAUGUCUGCAAAUUACGGAAAUCCCUUUAUGGUCUCAAACAAGCACCUCGAGCUUGGUUUGACAAACUGUUUCAAGCUCUUCUUCAGCUUGGUUUUAAGCAAUCUUCCUCAGAUGUUUCCUUAUUUGUUCUUCACAGUACAACUCCUGUCAUGGUACUUGUUUAUGUCGAUGACAUAUCAGUCACUGGACCUGACUCUUCCCUAUGCAAUCUAUUCAUUCAAAAACUCAAUGCUAUUUUUCUAGUCAAGGAUUUGGGUCCAUUGCACUACUUCCUGGGAUUAGAGGUUCAACGAUCAUCCACAGGUCUCUUCCUUCAUCAAACCAAGUAUUUACUGGAUCUUCUCAGAAAAACCAAUAUGGAUGGUGCAAAGCCUUGCUGCACUCCACUUGGCUCUAAUAAAUUGGAUCACACUAGUCCUCUUUUGUCCAAUCCAAUUGAGUACGGAUCUAUUGUAGGUGGUUUACAGUAUUUGACAUGGACGCGUCCCGAUAUUUCUUUUGCUGUGAAUCAAAUCUGUCAGUUCAUGCAUGCUUCUUGAGACCAACACAUGCAAGCCGCAAAACGAGUUCUUCGUUAUCUCAAGGGUACUGUGUUUGAAGGACUAUGGUUCAAAAAGGGCGCAACUAAUCUCACAGCCUUCUUAGAUGCAGACUGAGCUGGCUGUCGUUUUGAUAGACGUUCCACUAGUGGUUACAAUGUCGUUCUGGGAUCUAACCUUAUCAAUUGGAGUGCCAAGAAACAAGCUACUGUGGCAUGAUCAUCAACGGAAGCAGAAUACCGUUCUCUUGCACACACUGCCGCUAAACUGACUUGGAUAUGCAAAAUCUUCCGUGACAUUGGUUUCCCUUUCUCUCAGGUUCCUACCCUCUGGUGUGACAAUAUUUCAGCAAUCUCCCUUGCUUCUAAUUCGGUAUUCCAUGCCAGAACCAAACAUGUGGAGAUUGACUAUCAUUAUAUUCGAGAGUUGGUCUUGGCUAAUCUCAUCAAGGUUAACUUUGUUUGUAGUAAGGAUCAAUUAGCCAACAUUCACACAAAAUCUCUUUCCAAAAGUCGAUUUCAGUAUCUUAAAUCCAAGCUUCCUCUUGGUUCCUCAGUUGAUCCCAAGCUCAGCUUGCGAGGGUGUAUUGAGAGAGCUAAACCAGUCACAAGUUAGUUACAACAAUAAAUAGUUAAUUGUGGUAUUUGUGUAAUUAGGUGUAGAAGAUAAGGGUACUGAUGUAAUGAGCCUCUCUGGCUAUAUAUAUUCUUGUGUACUGUCUAGGGAUGGGUUCGGUUUAAAUCGGUUCGAUUUUUUACCAAAACCGAAACCAAACCGAAAUUCGAUUCGGUUCGGUUCAUUUUUUUUUCGGUUUGUUUUUUCCGGAUCGAUUUCGGUUUUUUUUUUUUUUGUUUUUUUUUCAAAAAAUGAAAAACAUUGAAAUUUUAAAUUUUAACAUAUCCAACACAAUCAUAACAUAAGCAUUCUAACUAGAAUCAAAGACAAUGAAAAUAAACAUUUAAAGUUGAACUAAAAUCAUCAAUCAAGUCUUCCAAAGUCCAAACUAACAACCUCACAACACAAAAAUCGUACAAAUGACUUAGAAAAAUUAAAUUGUAUGAUGUUGUUCAAAGAUCAAGGUUGUUUGCUUGUAACUGCAUGUUGACAACUUGAUUAGUAAACGUAAUGCGUGGGUGAAUUUAUUUAGUGUGUGUUGGAUUAUUUUCCAUAACAAAUUACCCAAGUAAUCUACCCGAAAUAAAUGUUUAUGGAUUCUGUUACAUGUUAUGUUAUAUGAGAGUAGAUUUGGAAAAGAAAGCUAGGACAGAAGUAGACAGUGAUAUGGAGAUGGAUGUAGGUACUUUAGGAGGAGGUUUGGUUCCAGAACCUUAUAUGGGGAUAAAUAAUAGGUUAGGGUUUAGAGUUUUUAUAGGCAUUUUUUAAAUAUUUCGAGCUUAAAGUUUGACAACACAUUGGGUUUAGCAUAUUUUAACUUACAAAUUGGGUUUAGAAAAUAAUACCCAAAACAAAUAAUUAAAUAAAUUUUUAAUUUAAUUAAUUUGGUUCGAUUCGGUUUGGUUCGAUUUUUAGAUCAUUAAAAUCGAACCGAACCAAAAGAAUUCGGUUCAAUUUGGUUUUUUCAAUUCGAUUCGGUUUUUUCGAUUUGAUUUUCGGUUUUUUUCGAUUUUUAGUUUUUUGAACCCACCAUAGUACUGUCAAUUAAGUUUAAUUAAUGAAAAUAUCCCUUUUUAACAUUUUCUACACGAAGAUCAUAACUAGUCAUACAAAAAUGUGCACAAACAAAACUCACAGAAUCAACUCUCGGAAUCUUAUAGCGAGUGAACCAUCGAAGCACUUGCUCCCGGAAAGUCUUUCCGACAUCGAUCAAUAUGUAGCUGUGGUUACCAUCGCUUCCGCAACGAUCAAUCAAAAGCGACGUAUUGCACCUGCAAACACAAAUCGUUCAAAAGCUGAUUUUUUUUUUCCCACUUUCCUUCACUUUCUCGGGAUACAAACAACCACAAAAAGGCAGAUCUAAAUCUCAAAUUUACCGGUAAUUAGGGUUUUGGUCCGGGGGGAUGGAGAGCGCCUGAGCGCAGACGUGGCAGGGAUCGGAGGCCUGGAUCAGGCACAUUGCGUUGGGAACGGAGCCGGAGCACCCGGUUCCGAGAAAGAUCAGCGCCGAUCGACCGCCGUCUUGGUUCCCGGCCGCCAUUGGGGUCUCCUACACGGAAGACAAGGGUUUCGGUCUUUGGGGGCGAGGGAGGGAGAGAGAGGAAGAGCGAGAGAACUGGCGAAGAGGGAAUGAAGAAAUGAAUCCGGGAAUAUUUGGGGCGACAAGGCCCGGGAAAUGUUAACGGUUACGUAGAGUGGGUAUUUGUCUACGUGGCCGAGAUCUAUUGGUUCCUGUUGUUUCCAAGGGUGGUGGGUUGGAGAAAUAUGAAUGGCAAAAUGCGAGUUCGAUACCACGUUAUAAUGUCGGCGCAUUAAAAAAUUAACCUUUUCUUUUCUGUUACUGUUGAAGAGCACCAUGAGAUUUUAAUCUAGAUACUGCCAUAAAAAAAAUGAUAAAUUAAUGUGAUAAAGAGAAAUUUUUUAUAUUAAAUUUCAACAAACUAAGAAAGUCACAACUAAAAUCGAUUUUUAUAUUGUAAUUAAAAUUAUUUUGAGUAAACUGUCAUUUAACCCCCUAAACUAUCACGUCAGUGUCAAUUUCCCCCCUGAACUAUUUUUUCAGCCAAUUGACCCCCUAAACUAUGUUAAAGUGGCCAAUUGACCCCCUACCGUUAAGUAUCUUUAACUUCAUCCAAUUUUCUGUUAGAAAGU